rnacentral:rRNA from 1 species
GGAUUCCCUUAAUAGCGGCGAGCGAACAGGGAGGAGCCCAGCACUGAAGCCCAUAAUCGGAAACGGUUAUUGGGCAAUGUAGUGUUUAGGAGUGCCCAAUUAACCUAAUUAUUUUUAAGCGUGUUCAAGUCCUUCUUGAAGGGGGCCAUUUACCCAUAGAGGGUGCCAGGCCCGUAGUAACCGUUUAGUGUAAUUAGGUGGGUUUUCUCCUUAGAGUCGGGUUGCUUGAGAGUGCAGCUCUAAGUGGGUGGUAAACUCCAUCUAAGGCUAAAUAUUACUGCGAAACCGAUAGAAAACAAGUACCGUGAGGGAAAGUUGAAAAGAACUUUGAAGAGAGAGUUCAAUAGUACGUGAAACUGUUCAUGAGUAAACCUAUAAUUCCUAAAAUAUCGAAUAGGGAGAUUCAAUUGUUUAACCGAUUAUAAAUAAUUUGUGGCGUGUACAUUUAUGUACUUUAGAGACAUUAUAUGGCAUAUAAUUAUUAAUUUAAUUAUUUUGUUUAAUAUAAUGCUCCACCAUUGUUAUUAAAUAUAAUCGGGGGCAUGCACUUCUGCCUAUUUUUGUUAAUGUCGUAAGCCAUUGUUAAUAGAUAUUUAAGGUCCGCAAAGGAGACCGUGUUGUUCAGGGAAAGUAAUAAUAAUUUUCGGAUUAUUAUCUUUCUUGUUGGCAAUACGGACUUGUGGUAUCCUGAUAUUCUAUCCCGAUGGUAUAAUAUGAUGAUGAGUCGCUAUGUAUAUAUGAAUUUAUAUUUAUAUAUAUUUAUAGUUGCGUUUUUAAACCUAUAACAAAUAUUUUUAUGUUAAUAUUAUACAGUAAAAUGUAUAAUUGUAGAAAACGGAUAUUUAUGCCGUUUCUACGCAUAUAGUAUUGUUAGUUAUAGUGUUCUUGAACGGAUUCACACAUCAUCGAUUUUACGACUAUCUAUGGUUUUGGGAAAUUAUAGGACCCGUCUUGAAACACGGACCAAGGAGUCUAGCAUAUAUGCAAGUCAUUGGGAUAUAGAAAACCUAAAGGCGAAAUGAAAGUAAAUAUAAUAUUUUUUAUAUUAUUUAAGGGAAGAUGGGUGAUGAUAUUUAUAUUGCCCCGCAUUCCCAGGACGUUGCGUACUCAUUGCGAGUUGUGGCGUACCAAGAGCAUAUACGCUGGGACC